AGCUCCAAUAGCGUAUACUAAUGUUGUUGCAGUUAAAAAGCUCGUAGUCGGAUUUCAGUAGGCUCAGUUAAGUCUCUUCUAUUGAGUUCUUUAUGGGCCUGCUUCUUUGACAGAAACUUCUAUGUUAUUCAUUUAGCGUGGGUAGCGACUGUCUCUUUUACUUUGAGAAAAUUAGAGUGUUCAAAGCAGGUAUUCGCCUGAAUAUUACUCUUGGAAUAAUGCUAUAAGACUUUGGUUCUAAUGUAUUGGUGAUUGGGACCAGAGUAAUGAUUGAUAGGGACGGUUGGGGUCUUACGUACUGCAAAGCGAGAGGUGAAAUUCUUGGACCUUUGUAUGACGAACAACUGCGAAAGCAUUGGACUAGGACGUUCCCG
rnacentral:rRNA from 1 species